rnacentral:lncRNA from 1 species
UCUCUGUAUUGAUUCUGCGUGAUUGUUGAGACGAAUUGUAGCGUUUAGGAGCGAAGUUCGCCAAGUGUGUUUGAUGUUGACUCUCCUAGUGGCCACGAGCCUUGGGUUGACUCGGAGCAGUUCGGUCACUAGCGACGAGCCGCAAGCUGCCCUUAGAAGAUACGAAUUAAACAGGUCUCGUACCAGAUGCUGCCGGUAACCUCCAAGAGGAUCUAUUUUGGACUGGAAUCAUUCCGCACACAGGCUCGUCAAGGGGUGGACCUGUGGGCCCUUAUUUUCUACAUUGAGUAACUAUACUUAGUACGAAGUAUAGUUACUCAAUGCUUUCUAUCAAAACGUCUGGAGUUAUACGAACUGGGACUCUUAGGACAAGAAUCGUUGAGGCUCAGGCAAACACCGAAGUACAAGUGUAGACACCUGAGCAAAGAGGAUCUGCAGGAUGAAAUUGAGGGCAGAAGAUUGCGAUUCUUGAAAAUAUGUUUGAAUUUUGCCGCCGCUGGUCACGUGGCCGCACUCGCCGAAACAGCUAGCGCUAUUGGGAAUAAAUCCAGAAUGACGUCCCAUCGGUUCUGGAUCACAGGACACCUCCAGAAAGGCCAGGAGAUGCAGUAAUUGGCGGAUCAAUUGAAAAAUUGACUCAAAAUCGAAAAGAAA